rnacentral:rRNA from 1 species
CAGUCUGCAACUCGACUGCGUGAAGGUGGAGUCGCUAGUAAUCGCGGAUCAGCAACGCCGCGGUGAAUGCGUUCCCGGGCCUUGUACACACCGCCCGUCAAGUCAUGAAAGUGGGCAGCACCCGAAGACGGUGGCCUAACCCUUGUGGGGGGAGCCGUCUAAGGUGAGGCUCGUGAUUGGGACUAAGUCGUAACAAGGUAAC